UCAGAACCAGCGUGAGUUGAGGAUAGCC
rnacentral:sRNA from 1 species